rnacentral:rRNA from 1 species
UACGGGGGGAGCAAGCGUUGUUCGGAUUUACUGGGCGUAAAGGGCGCGUAGGCGGCCACCGCAAGUCGACUGUGAAAUCUCCGGGCUUAACUCGGAAAGGUCAGCCGAUACUGCGGGGCUAGAGUGCAGAAGGGGCAACUGGAAUUCUCGGUGUAGCGGUGAAAUGCGUAGAUAUCGAGAGGAACACCUGCGGCGAAGGCGGGUUGCUGGGCUGACACUGACGCUGAUUGUGCGAAAGCCAGGGGAGCAAACGGG